rnacentral:rRNA from 1 species
UCAGCUCGUGUCGUGAGAUGUUGGGUUAAGUCCGCAACGAGCGCAACCCCUACUUGUUAGUUGCCAUCAUUCAGUUGGGGCACUCUAGCGAGACUGCCGGUAAUAAACCGGAGGAAGGUGGGGAUGACGUCAAGUCCUCAUGGCCCUUAUGUCCAGGGCUACACACGUGCUACAAUGGCCGGUACAAAGGGCUGCAAUACCGCAAGGUGGAGCGACCCCAAAAAGACCGGUCUCAGUUCGGAUUGGAGUCUGCAACUCGACUCCAUGAAGUUGGAAUCGCUAGUAAUCGCGGAUCAGCAUGCCGCGGUGAAUACGUUCCCGGGCCUU